rnacentral:rRNA from 1 species
CUCGAUGAGUAGGGCGGGACACGUGGUAUCCUGUCUGAAUAUGGGGGGACCAUCCUCCAAGGCUAAAUACUCCUGACUGACCGAUAGUGAACCAGUACCGUGAGGGAAAGGCGAAAAGAACCCCGGCGAGGGGAGUGAAAAAGAACCUGAAACCGUGUACGUACAAGCAGUGGGAGCACGCUUAGGCGUGUGACUGCGUACCUUUUGUAUAAUGGGUCAGCGACUUAUAUUCUGUAGCAAGGUUAACCGAAUAGGGGAGCCGAAGGGAAACCGAGUCUUAACUGGGCGUUAAGUUGCAGGGUAUAGACCCGAAACCCGGUGAUCUAGCCAUGGGCAGGUUGAAGGUUGGGUAACACUAACUGGAGGACCGAACCGACUAAUGUUGAAAAAUUAGCGGAUGACUUGUGGCUGGGGGUGAAAGGCCAAUCAAACCGGGAGAUAGCUGGUUCUCCCCGAAAGCUAUUUAGGUAGCGCCUCGUGAAUUCAUCUCCGGGGGUAGAGCACUGUUUCGGCAAGGGGGUCAUCCCGACUUACCAACCCGAUGCAAACUGCGAAUACCGGAGAAUGUUAUCACGGGAGACACACGGCGGGUGCUAACGUCCGUCGUGAAGAGGGAAACAACCCAGACCGCCAGCUAAGGUCCCAAAGUCAUGGUUAAGUGGGAAACGAUGUGGGAAGGCCCAGACAGCCAGGAUGUUGGCUUAGAAGCAGCCAUCAUUUAAAGAAAGCGUAAUAGCUCACUGGUCGAGUCGGCCUGCGCGGAAGAUGUAACGGGGCUAAACCAUGCACCGAAGCUGCGGCAGCGACACUAUGUGUUGUUGGGUAGGGGAGCGUUCUGUAAGCCUGUGAAGGUGUGCUGUGAGG